rnacentral:rRNA from 1 species
GAUGAACGCUAGCUACAGGCUUAACACAUGCAAGUCGAGGGGCAGCGGGAUUGAAGCUUGCUUCAAUUGCCGGCGACCGGCGCACGGGUGAGUAACGCGUAUCCAACCUUCCGUACACUCAGGGAUAGCCUUUCGAAAGGAAGAUUAAUACAAGAUGGCAUCAUGAGUCCGCAUGUUCACAUGAUUAAAGGUAUUCCGGUAGACGAUGGGGAUGCGUUCCAUUAGUUUGUUGGCGGGGUAACGGCCCACCAAGACAUCGAUGGAUAGGGGUUCUGAGAGGAAGGUCCCCCACAUUGGAACUGAGACACGGGUCCAAACUCCUACGGGAGGCAGCAGUGAGGAAUAUUGGUCAAUGGACGAGAGUCUGAACCAGCCAAGUAGCGUGAAGGAUGACUGCCCUAUGGGUUGUAAACUUCUUUUAUAUGGGAAUAAAGUGAGCCACGUGUGGCUUUUUGUAUGUACCAUACGAAUAAGGAUACGGCU